rnacentral:rRNA from 1 species
GGGGAAUAUUGCACAAUGGGGGGAACCCUGAUGCAGCCAUGCCGCGUGAAUGAAGAAGGCCUUCGGGUUGUAAAGUUCUUUCGGUAGCGAGGAAGGCAUUUAGUUUAAUAGACUAGAUGAUUGACGUUAACUACAGAAGAAGCACCGGCUAACUCCGUGCCAGCAGCCGCGGUAAUACGGGGGGUGCGAGCGUUAAUCGGAAUAACUGGGCGUAAAGGGCACGCAGGCGGUGACUUAAGUGAGAUGUGAAAGCCCCGGGCUUAACCUGGGAAUUGCAUUUCAUACUGGGUCGCUAGAGUACUUUAGGGAGGGGUAGAAUUCCACGUGUAGCGGUGAAAUGCGUAGAGAUGUGGAGGAAUACCGAAGGCGAAGGCAGCCCCUUGGGAAUGUACUGACGCUCAUGUGCGAAAGCGUGGGGAGCAAACAGGAUUAGAUACCCUGGUAGUCCACGCUGUAAACGAUGUCGAUUUGGGGGUUGGGCUUUAAGCUUGGCGCCCGUAGCUAACGUGAUAAAUCGACCGCCUGGGGAGUACGGCCGCAAGGUUA